UCUUGUUGAAUUUUCUAGUAAAAAUAUCUAUCAAUUUGGAUACAGGUCAAUACCAAUAUAACAUCAAUUGAAUUACUACAUUCAAAGAAUACAGAUUUAAUGCAAAAAACUGUGAAGAUUAGGUGAGGACAACAUAUCCAGUUUUUCAGAAAAUCAAUACACCUUGAUUUGAUCAAAUCAAAUGCAACUCAAAUUUAAAAUAAAGUAUUAGGAUCUGCAAGGGAUGUGACUAUGCAUCUUGAAUUCAUUACAAAAUAGAAAAAAUCUUCAACGUUGUAGAUUAGUGUUAGAAAUACAUCAUACAUGUGAAUAUUAGGUGAGGACAACAUAUCCAGUUUUUCAGAAAAUCAAUACACCUUGAUUUGAUCAAAUCAAAUGCAACUCAAAUUUAAAAUAAAGUAUUAGGAUCUGCAAGGGAUGUGACUAUGCAUCUUGAAUUCAUUACAAAAUAGAAAAAAUCUUCAACGUUGUAGAUUAGUGUUAGAAAUACAUCAUACAUGACAAAUAUUUUUAACAUCAGACACAAAAAACUGUUUACCAAAAUAAUGUGAGUAGGGAAAGAAAUUUUUGAACUAAUAGAGUCAAGGUCAAAAAUUAAAGAAUG
rnacentral:lncRNA from 1 species